GUCGUGGUGGCUGAGUUGGUUAAGGCGUUAGACUUAAAAUCUUAUGGGAUUUAUUCCUGCGCAGGUUCGAAUCCUGUCCACGGCG